UCUCCCAUCCCACCCCGCCGCCCCCGCCUUCCUCCCCCUCACGCGAUUCCCACCGUCGCCACCCCCACCCACCACCGCCGACCUCGUCUCCGCCACGCACCCUCUCCCCUCGCUUUCAUCCCCCAGAUCCACCAGUCUGCUUCUCGGCCAUGGCGUCACGGCCGGUUUUCUCGCCGGCGCGCGCGUGCGUGCUUCGAUGCGCGCCGCUCCGUCGAGCUGGCCGGACCGUGGCGCGCGCGUGGACUGUGUAUCCGCUACCAAAUCUCCCCUCCGCUCCCGAAUCAAAUCCCCCAAAUCUCUCCUCCGCUCCCGAAUCAAAUCCCCAUCACCUCCGCCACCACCCCACCUACUCCCACCGCCGUCGCGAGCCACGUGCGCGAGCGGGGCGAUGGCCAAUCCUCUGCUUCUCCUCCAUUCAUCGUGCACGCCCUGGGACGACGCCGGCCGACAGAUCUAGGGCGACGACGAACCCUAGCUGCAACGGCUUAUUGGUGCGGCUGCGGCGCAUCUGAUACUCGCCCCGAGCUCCCUCCUCCUCCGUUGCUGUGGCAGCCUUGGGACGAUAUUCGCCGCCUGUGACCGCUGUGUUGGGAACCGGUCCGGCCAAGGGGAAGCUGGGUUCCCAGCCAACGCAGCGUCCGGCGAAGCGGCUCUGCCUGCGGCCCGAUUGCGCUCACAACGUCCCCGUCACCAAGUUCAAUCAAAAGACUGGCAAGCCUCUCAAGUGUAAAGAAAAUGGCACGCUCUCAAGUCUAAGAUGUAUACAGAGCGGUGUAUGCAUGUGCCAAACUGAAACCAUAUGUGUUACGUGGUGAAUUCUUGCUCCGCUCGGAAGGAGUUGUCAUUGCCGUGGGAGUCUCUGACCUCUUCUUCUACUACCUAUUGCUGCUGCUGCUGGGUGUCUGUAGCUACAGGGGAAUCCACUGUAGUCCUACUUGCGAACUCAACUAAACUGCAGCACAAUUUGAAUAUAGCACCUGACACUGAUGUAAAAGGUAGUCUUAACACUUUGGCUUGAUCCACACAAGAUCGUCUUGAGCUGUGGAUUCUGACAUUAGACCUCUCCUCCAUGGGGAACAGCCGCAAGAACCACUGUAAAGAAUUGACGUGCCCUUUAGCUUGUUGAUUCAUGCUAAUCCACCCAGUUAUUCUGUGUCUACUUCAGUUGCAAAGAUGUCCAUGGAGAAGAUGGCCAUUGGACUGUAGGGGAGCGAGAGGGCUGUCACCAAGAAGGAAGGCAUUGACUUUGCCAAGGAGUAUGGAUGUCUAUCUGGAAUGCAGCGCAAAGACCAAAGUGAAUGUUUAGUAGUGGUUUGAAGAGGUUGUACUGAAGGAAUCAAUGAUGCCGACCUCCUUGCAGAGUUGUGCCAGGUACCAAAUGAUGACCUACUCGCACAGUUGUGACAGAUCCUUCGGUGGAGGUGACCCAUGUGAUGGUGAUUCGCUCCAGUAGUUUCGGUCUGGCAGUGGUGGUGCUACACUGCUACUGCUCCUAUGAUGGCUACGCAUUGGUAGGCUCGGCUGCCUCCCUUUGCUGUCGCUGUGAUGGUGAAGCUCAGCCUAGGCUACAACCACUUCCGAUGAGCUCCUCAGAUCAGGAUCUAAUGUUGUUGGGGUGGCUGUUGUUGUGACCAUGAUCAGAAGAAGCCUGGAGAUGUGCACAAUAGUUUUAGUUGAUGUUGCCACCAUGUUUUGGUGCAUGUGUAUUUCUUUUUGAUUGUAUGCAAACUUGAUGGAUCAUGCAGACGUGUAUGUGCUGUUGUGAGUUUCAUUGAGUGAUUUCUGGAUUUGAUCAUUUAAUUGAGAGAAUUAUUGAUUGUUUGUUGU